ensembl:rRNA 5S_rRNA 5S ribosomal RNA
GUCUAAGGCCAUACCACCCUGAAUGCGCCCGAUCUCAUCUGGUCUCAGAAACUGAGCAGGGUCGGGCCUGGUUAGUACUUGGAUGGGAGAAAUCUUUUUACUUGUUUCAUGUAUGUAAAUGUAGUGGUUUGUGGUA